AGGAGGGCCGUGAGUGAUCCUCCUGAGAUCUGUUUUCAUUGGCAGAGGGCUAGCAAAACAAACUAAAAGCAAAACAAAAGGUGAAAUGUUUCCCCUUUGGCAUUUGAGCAUCUAAGAAGGGACAGGAAAGGAGAAAGGGAAAGAGAGAAAAAGAAGGAAAGAUGGGAAGAGAUAAAG